rnacentral:rRNA from 1 species
UACGAAGGGGGCUAGCGUUGCUCGGAAUUACUGGGCGUAAAGCGCACGUAGGCGGCUUUCUAAGUCGGGGGUGAAAUCCUGGAGCUCAACUCCAGAACUGCCUUUGAUACUGAGAGCCUUGAGUUCGGGAGAGGUGAGUGGAACUGCGAGUGUAGAGGUGAAAUUCGUAGAUAUUCGCAAGAACACCAGUGGCGAAGGCGGCUCACUGGCCCGAUACUGACGCUGAGGUGCGAAAGCGUGGGGAGCAAACAGG